UACGGGGGGAGCAAGCGUUGUUCGGAUUUACUGGGCGUAAAGGGCGCGUAGGCGGCGCAACAAGUCACUUGUGAAAUCUCCGGGCUUAACCCGGAGCGGUCAAGUGAUACUGUCGUGCUAGAGUGCGGAAGGGGCCACUGGAAUUCUCGGUGUAGCGGUGAAAUGCGUAGAUAUCGAGAGGAACACCUGCGGCGAAGGCGGGUAGCUGGGCCGACACUGACGCUGAUGCGCGAAAGCCAGGGGAGGCGAACGGG
rnacentral:rRNA from 1 species